AUUGAACGCUGGCGGCAUGCCUAACACAUGCAAGUCGAACGAGUGGCGGACGGGUGAGUAAUGUCCGGGCAACUGCCCGAUGGAGGGGGAUAACUACUGGAAACGGUAGCUAAUACCGCAUCCCAUCGGAUGUGCCCCGAUGGGAUUAGCUAGUUGGUGGGGUAACGGCUCACCUAGGCGACGAUCCCUAGCUGGUCUGAGAGGAUGACCAGCCACACUGGAACUGAGACACGGUCCAGACUCCUACGGGAGGCAGCAGUGGGGAAUAUUGCACAAGGGGCGCAAGCCUGAUGCAGCCAUGCCGCGUGUAUGAAGAAGGCCUUCGGGUUGUAAAGUACUUUCAGCGGGGAGGCGUUACCCGCAGAAGAAGCACCGGCUAACUCCGUGCCAGCAGCCGCGGUAAUUC
rnacentral:rRNA from 1 species